rnacentral:rRNA from 1 species
UACGUAGGGUGCGAGCGUUAAUCGGAAUUACUGGGCGUAAAGCGUGCGCAGGCGGUUUUGUAAGCCGGAUGUGAAAUCCCCGGGCUUAACCUGGGAAGUGGCAUUCGGGACUGCAAGGCUGGAGUGCGGCAGAGGAGACUGGAAUUCCUGGUGUAGCAGUGAAAUGCGUAGAUAUCAGGAGGAACACCGAUGGCGAAGGCAGGUCUCUGGGCUGACACUGACGCUCAUGCACGAAAGCGUGGGGAGCGAA